AAAUGGAUGAGCUGCAAGCAGAGGUAACCUCUGUGGGGAAUCUUCAUGGAGAAUCUGCUGCACCACACACAAUGGCAGGUGCCACUGAGAAAUUGACAAGAGCUCCUUGCAGGAUGCAGGCAAAA